rnacentral:rRNA from 1 species
UACGUAGGUGACAAGCGUUGUCCGGAUUUACUGGGCGUAAAGAGCGCGCAGGCGGUCGAUCAAGUCGAGUGUGAAAGCCCCCGGCUCAACUGGGGAGGGUCAUUCGAUACUGAUCGACUCGAAGGCAGGAGAGGGUAGUGGAAUUCCCGGUGUAGUGGUGAAAUGCGUAGAUAUCGGGAGGAACACCAGUGGCGAAGGCGGCGACCUGGGUAGAUACUGACGCUGAGGCGCGAAAGCGUGGGGAGCAAACAGG